rnacentral:rRNA from 1 species
UAAUGUAUGGGGAUCUGCCCGAUAGAGGGGGAUAACUACUGGAAACGGUGGCUAAUACCGCAUAAUGUCUACGGACCAAAGCAGGGGGCUCUUCGGACCUUGCACUAUCGGAUGAACCCAUAUGGGAUUAGCUAGUAGGUGGGGUAAAGGCUCACCUAGGCGACGAUCUCUAGCUGGUCUGAGAGGAUGAUCAGCCACACUGGGACUGAGACACGGCCCAG